UACGUAGGGUGCAAGCGUUGUCCGGAAUUAUUGGGCGUAAAGAGCUCGUAGGCGGUCGGUCGCGUCUGCUGUGAAAACUCGGGGCUUAACUCCGGGCCUGCAGUGGGUACGGGCUGACUAGAGUGCGGUAGGGGAGACUGGAAUUCCUGGUGUAGCGGUGAAAUGCGCAGAUAUCAGGAAGAACACCCGUGGCGAAAGCGGCUCUCUGGAACGGUACUGACGCUGAGACGCGAAAGCGUGGGGAGCGAACAGG
rnacentral:rRNA from 1 species